GAACGGCAGCACGGGGGCAACUCUGGUGGCGAGUGGCGAACGGGUGAGUAAUACAUCGGAACGUGUCCUGUAGUGGGGGAUAGCCCGGCGAAAGCCGGAUUAAUACCGCAUACGACCUAAGGGAGAAAGCGGGGGAUCUUCGGACCUCGCGCUAUAGGGGCGGCCGAUGGCAGAUUAGCUAGUUGGUGGGGUAAAGGCCUACCAAGGCGACGAUCUGUAGCUGGUCUGAGAGGACGACCAGCCACACUGGGACUGAGACACGGCCCAGACUCCUACGGGAGGCAGCAGUGGGGAAUUUUGGACAAUGGGGGCAACCCUGAUCCAGCAAUGCCGCGUGUGUGAAGAAGGCCUUCGGGUUGUAAAGCACUUUUGUUCGGGAAGAAAACCAUCUGGCUAAUAUCCGGGUGGGAUGACGGUACCGGAAGAAUAAGCACCGGCUAACUACGUG
rnacentral:rRNA from 1 species